CCUACGGGUGGGCAGCAGUGAGGAAUAUUGGUCAAUGGGCGGGAGCCUGAACCAGCCAAGCCGCGUGAGGGAAGAAGGUACAGCGUAGCGUAGAACUCUUUUGUCAGGGAACAGAGGCGGGGACUAGUACCCGGAUGAGGGUACCUGAAGACAAAGCAUCGGCUAACUCGGUGCCAGCAGCCGCGGUAAUAAGGAGGAUGCGAGCGUGAUCCGGAUUGAUUGGGUGAAAGGGGUGCGCAGGCGGGCUGUUAAGUCAGCGGGAAAAGCCCGGGGUUCAACCCGGGCGAGCAGUUGAAACUGGCGGGCUGGAGUUUGAGAGAGGGACGUGGAAUGCGCUGUGUAGCGGUGAAAUGCUUAGAGAUGGCGCAGAACCCCGAUUGCGAAGGCAGCGCACCGGCUCAAGACUGACGCUGAGGUACGAAAGCGUGGGUAGCGAACAGGAUUAGAUACCCGUGUAGUC
rnacentral:rRNA from 1 species